GUUGUAGCUCAGAGGUAGAGCGCUUGCCUAGCAUGUGUGAGGCCCUGGGUUCGAUCCUUAGCAUGACA
rnacentral:tRNA from 1 species